rnacentral:lncRNA from 1 species
UCAGCAUACAUCAACAGUUCCUCAUGAAUUGGCUAUAACUAAUCCCAUCCAAUUUUUGCCUGAAGCAAUUCUAAAACAUUGUUCUAUUAUAAAAGACAAUGCUCCCUGUGAACAGCUAUUGAUCCAAUGGAUUAGUAUACCUACUGAGGAAUCAAUUUGGAUUGAUUUAAAUUAUUUCAAAGGUCAAUUUCCUUUUUUUCAACCAUGAGGACAAGGUUGUCCCUUCAAAGGCCAACAAUGAUGGGCAGGGAGAACAAGGCCGUGAGAAAAUGCCUAAAUGGCAGGUUUAUUCUAGAAGAUUUGGCAAAGGUACAGUAGCAACAUGGGAGGAUCGCACCUAGGCAAGAACCGGCUUAUAAAUAAGAGAGAAUUGCAUGAAAUUGGCAUGACCAGCCCUGAUUAUUCUUCUGUUAUUUUUUAUCAGCAUAAAGCGUGGGGGAAAAGCCUGUUGUUGCAGUCAUAGCUGUGGGAAGGGAAUUGAUGAUUUUAUUUUUUUGUUACUGAGAUUCAUUUGUAUCAGAUCUAGUUUAUUAAUAUCAAAUUUCUGUCAAAUGCCUCCAUUUUUACUCCUCCAAUUCUUUAUUGUGAAGUUAUUUGGAUUGAUUGGCUCUAUUAAAGAAGAGCCUCAGGCACGCCCAAGGCUCCAGGUGCACGAGGCUCAGAGGUCAGCUCCUUGACACUCCCCAGGCAAGCGAUGAUUCACAGACACACUCAGGCACACCUUGCACCUAGCCUCACCUCGGCAAUCUAGACACCCUAUUCAGAGUUGGCUGGCUUUUUCCUCACUCCAAAUGCAGAUACAACAACUCCCAAUAAAGAAAAGAAAACAAAGAAGAAGAACAAGAAAGAGGAAGGAGGAGCAGCCCUGAAAAAACAGAGGAGAAAGAACGUGUACUUAACUUUGUGUGCUCCUACAGAUCAAUUACUUUUUAUUCUUCUUCUUCGUCUUCUUCUUCUACUCCUUUCUUUAUUUUUUUUUUCUUUUGGAUUCUUCUUCCCCUCCUCCUCAUGUCUUUCUUUCUUCUUUUAGGUUUUCUAAUCUCUCUUUUCUAUGUUGCUAUGCUGCCCAAUUUCACUUUGAUUGCCGACACUGGAGAUCUCAAACACUCAUGCAUGUUUUAUUUCAUAUUAAAAAUUAAGUAAUUUAUUUUUAAUGUGAUUGUUAAAUUUGGUUCAGGCCUAACUCACCCCAAAAGCUAGCUCAAGGGGGAGGAGUGCCUAUGGCCCAUAUAAGGGGCACAUUACCCCUUUCCACAACCGAUGUGGGAUUCAACACACCCCCUUACGCCUAGAAUUUUCACCGGUGCGUGGCACAUUUAUGGGGCGCCCAACAUCGGAUGCAGAGGCUCUGAUACUAUGUUAAAUUUGGGCAAGGCCUAACUCACCCAAAAGCUAGCUCAAGGAGGAAGAGUGCCCAUGACCCAUAUAAGGGGUACAUUACCCCUUUCCACAUCUGACGUGGAAUUCAACACACCCCUUCACGCCCAGAAUUUUACUGGUGUGCGUGACACAUUUAUCGGAGGCCCAACAUCGAAUGGGGAGGUUCUGAUACCAUAUUAAAUUUAGGUCAGGCCUAACUCACCCCAAAAGCUAGUUCAAGGGGGAGGAGUGCCUAUGGCCCAUAUAAGGGGCACAUUACCCCUUUCCACAACCGAUGUGGGAUUCAACACACCCCCUCACGCCUAGAAUUUUUACUGGUGCGUGGCACAUUUAUGGGGCGCCCAACAUUGGAUGGAGAGGCUCCGAUACCAUAUUAAAUUUGGGCCAGGCCUAACUCACCCAAAAGCUAGUUCAAGGAGGAAGAGUGCCCAUGACCCAUAUAAGGGGCACAUUACCCCUUUCCACAUCCGACGUGGGAUUCAACACACCCCUUCACGCCCAGAAUUUUACUGGUGUGCAUGACACAUUUAUGGGAGGCCCAACAUCGGAUGGGGAGGCUCUGAUACCAUAUUAAAUUUGGGUCAGGCCUAACUCACCCCAAAAGCUAGCUCAAGGGGGAGGAGUGCCUAUGGCCCAUAUAAGGGGCACAUUACCCCUUUCCACAACCGAUGUGGGAUUCAACAGUGAUCAAAGAUUUUAAGUAUUUUGAAUUACUUUUACAACAAUAAAAUCCUUGUUAAUGCCAUUAUAUUAUCAAAUUACAUACUAUUGUAUAAUAUUAAAUUUAUUUAAUUUCUUAUUGCCAUUAAAUUACUUAUUAUCAAAGCUCUCAAAAUCAAAGUCAAUAUAUUCAAGAACUUCCUACACUCUUUUUGGUGGUAAUAAGUUUAAUUCUAUAAUAUCUAGGUAUCUAUCAACAUACCUAGUUAUUUGAUAGUGAAUUGAUUAACGUUAAUGAUGUCUUAGAUUGAUGAAUUUAAUGUCCUUAUUUGAUUUAUACUUAUUAUUUAGUUAUUCUCUUAGUUUUAGUUUUAAUUGUAAUUAUAAUUAUAUUUUUAAAUAUCUAUUUAUUUUAUAAAAUUUUCAAGUUUUUCAACUGUGACCAUCACAUUAUUGUGUCACAGGCCUCUUUCAAUUACACACAACUUGAUACGAAUUCAUGAUAGAGAUACAAGUAUCCCAAGAAUUAAAAUGUCAAAAAAGCACAUAC